AUUGAACGCUGGCGGCAUGCCUUACACAUGCAAGUCGAACGGCAGCACGGGAGCAAUCCUGGUGGCGAGUGGCGAACGGGUGAGUAAUAUAUCGGAACGUGCCCAGUCGUGGGGGAUAACGCAGCGAAAGCUGUGCUAAUACCGCAUACGAUCUAAGGAUGAAAGCGGGGGAUCGCAAGACCUCGCGCGAUUGGAGCGGCCGAUAUCAGAUUAGCUAGUUGGUGGGGUAAAGGCCCACCAAGGCGACGAUCUGUAGCUGGUCUGAGAGGACGACCAGCCACACUGGAACUGAGACACGGUCCAGACUCCUACGGGAGGCAGCAGUGGGGAAUUUUGGACAAUGGGCGCAAGCCUGAUCCAGCAAUGCCGCGUGCAGGAUGAAGGCCUUCGGGUUGUAAACUGCUUUUGUACGGAACGAAACGGCCCUUUCUAAUACAAGGGGCUAAUGACGGUACCGUAAGAAUAAGCACCGGCUGACUACGUGCCAGCCGCCGCCGUAAAAC
rnacentral:rRNA from 1 species